rnacentral:rRNA from 1 species
AUUGAACGCUGGCGGCAGGCCUAAUACAUGCAAGUCGAGCGGAGCGGCGGACGGGUGAGUAAUGCCUAGGAAUCUGCCUGGUAGUGGGGGAUAACGUCCGGAAACGGGCGCUAAUACCGCAUACUAUCAGAUGAGCCUAGGUCGGAUUAGCUAGUGGGGGGGGUAAAGGCCUACCAAGGCGACGAUGCGUAACUGGUCUGAGAGGAUGAUCAGUCACAGUGGAAAGGAGACACGGUGCAGAAUCCUAAGGGAGGCAGGAGUGGGGAAUAUUGGGCAAUGGGCGAUAGCCUGUUCCAGUCAUGCCGCGUGUGUGAAGAAGGGCUUCGGAUUGUAAAGCACGUUAAGUUGGGAGGCGUUACCAAAAGAAUAAGCACCGGCUAACUUCGUGCCAGCAGCCGCGGUAAUAC